GCUUGUCUCAAAGAUUAAGCCAUGCACGUCUGAGAAUAAAGAGUUUUCUCUGAAUCUGCGAAUGGCUCAUUAUAUCAGUUAUAGUUUAUUUGAUAGUCCUUUACUACUUGGAUAACCGUAGUAAUUCUAGAGCUAAUACAUGCUAUCAAGCCCGACUUCUUGAAGGGUUGUAUUUAUUAGACUUAAGCCAAUAUUCCUUGUGUCUAUUGCGAUGAUUCAUAAUAACUGAUCGAAUCUCAAAUUUGAGAUAAAUCAUUCAAGUUUCUGCCCUAUCAGCUUUCGAUGGUAGUGUAUUGGACUACCAUGGCAGUAACGGGUAACGAAGAAUUAGGGUUCGAUUUCGGAGAGGGAGCAUGAGAAACGGCUACCACAUCUAAGGAAGGCAGCAGG
rnacentral:rRNA from 1 species